AACGAACGCUGGCGGCAGGCCUAACACAUGCAAGUCGAGCGCCCCGCAAGGGGAGCGGCGGACGGGUGAGUAACGCGUGGGAACGUGCCUCUUGCUACGGAAUAGCCUCGGGAAACUGGGAGUAAUACCGUAUGUGCCCUACGGGGGAAAGAUUUAUCGGCAAGAGAUCGGCCCGCGUUGGAUUAGGUAGUUGGUGGGGUAAUGGCCUACCAAGCCGACGAUCCAUAGCUGGUUUGAGAGGAUGGUCAGCCACACUGGGACUGAGACACGGCCCAGACUCCUACGGGAGGCAGCAGUGGGGAAUCUUAGACAAUGGGCGCAAGCCUGAUCUAGCCAUGCCGCGUGAGCGAUGAAGGCCUUAGGGUUGUAAAGCUCUUUCAGUGGGGAAGAUAAUGACUGUACCCACAGAAGAAGCCCGGCUAACUCCGUGCCAGCAGCCGCGGUAAUGUAUCG
rnacentral:rRNA from 1 species